UACGGAGGGGGCUAGCGUUGUUCGGAAUUACUGGGCGUAAAGCGCGCGUAGGCGGACCUGCAAGUCGGGGGUGAAAGCCCGAGGCUCAACCUCGGAACUGCCUUCGAUACUGCGGGUCUCGAGUCCGGGAGAGGUGAGUGGAAUUCCUAGUGUAGAGGUGAAAUUCGUAGAUAUUAGGAAGAACACCAGUGGCGAAGGCGGCUCACUGGGCCGCAACUGACGCUGAGGAGCGAAAGCAUGGGGAGCGAACAGG
rnacentral:rRNA from 1 species